ensembl:misc_RNA Metazoa_SRP Metazoan signal recognition particle RNA
GCUGGGUGUGGUGGCUCAUGCCUGUAAUCCCGGCACUUUGGGAGGCUGAGGCAGGUGGAUCACCUGAGGUCAGGAGUCUGAGACCAGCCUGGCCAACAUGGUGAAACCCUGUCUCUA